AGUGAACGCUGGCGGCGUGCCUAAUACAUGCAAGUCGAACGGAGUAGCGCACGGGGGAGGAAUAUAUAGCUAAUCUGCCCCUUGCUAGAGGACAACAGGUAGAAAUGACUGCUAAUACUCCAUAGCAAGGGAUGAGACGAUAUCGUAUCAGCUAGUCGGUGGGGUAACGGCCUACCGAGGCGAUGACGCGUAACAGGUCUGAGAGGAUGAUCAGUAAAAUUGGACGUGAGGCACGAGCCAAACUUCUUCGGGAGUGAGCGGUAGGGUAUCUUGCGCAAUGGGCGUAAGCCAGACGGAGUAACGGCGCGUGGAAGUUGGCACUUUGCGAAGAGUAAAGUCCUUUUGUUAUGGAAGCGGUACCUAACGAAUAAGCACCGGCUAACUACGUGCCAGCAGCCGCGGUAAUAC
rnacentral:rRNA from 1 species